UACAGAGGUCUCAAGCGUUGUUCGGAUUCAUUGGGCGUAAAGGGUGCGUAGGCGGCGCGGUAAGUCGGGUGUGAAAUCUCGGAGCUUAACUCCGAAACUGCAUUCGAUACUGCCGUGCUUGAGGACUGGAGAGGAGACUGGAAUUUACGGUGUAGCGGUGAAAUGCGUAGAUAUCGUAAGGAAGACCGGUGGCGAAGGCGGGUCUCUGGACAGUUCCUAACGCUGAGGCACGAAGGUCGGGGAGCAAACGGG
rnacentral:rRNA from 1 species